rnacentral:rRNA from 1 species
CGCCUCUUGUUUCUCCUAUAUAAGAGGUCCUGCCUGCCCAGUGACAUAUUGUUAAACGGCCGCGGUAUCAUGACCGUGCAAAGGUAGCGUAAUCACUUGUCUUCUAAAUAAAGACCGGUAUGAAUGGCAAAACGAGAGUUCAACUGUCUCCUUUAACCAAUCAGUGAAAUUGAUCUUUCCGUGCAGAAGCGGAAAUUUAAAUAUAAGACGAGAAGACCCUAUGGAGCUUAAAAUAUAAACCAUUUAUAAAAUAAUAUACCAAAAGGCUAAUAAUUAACAUAAAUUCUGGUUAAAAUUUUAGGUUGGGGCGACCACGGAAUAAAAUAAAACUUCCGAGAUGAAAUUAUAAUUCAAGGGUAACAACCCUAAAAAAUAAAACAUUUAACAUAAUUGAUCCAAUAUUUUGAUCAACGGACCAAGUUACCCUAGGGAUAACAGCGCAAUCCUUUCCAAGAGUUCUUGUCGACGAAUGGGUUUACGACCUCGAUGUUGGAUCAGGACAUCCUAAUGGUGCAGCUGCUACUAAGGGUUCGUUUGUUCAACGAUUAAAGUCCC